CCUGGUUGAUCCUGCCAGUAGUCAUAUGCUUGUCUCAAAGAUUAAGCCAUGCAUGUCUAAGUAUAAGCGAGUAUACUGCGAAACUGCGAAUGGCUCACUAAAUCAGUUAUGGUUUAUUUGAUGGUACCUUGCUACUUGGAUAACCGUAGUAAUUCUAGAGCUAAUACAUGCAGGAGCUCCCGACUUCGGAAGGGAUGUAUUUAUUAGAUAAGAAACCAAACCGGUCUCCGGUUGUGUGCUGAGUCAUAAUAACUGCUCGAAUCGCACGGCUCUACGCUGGCGAUGGUUCAUUCAAAUUUCUGCCCUAUCAGCUUUCGAUGGUAGGAUAGAGGCCUACCAUGGCGUUAACGGGUAACGGAGAAUUAGGGUUCGAUUCCGGAGAGGGAGCCCGAGAAAUGGCUACCACAUCCAAGGAAGGCAGCAGGCGCGUAAAUUGCCCGAAUCCUGACACAGGGAGGUAGUGACAAGAAAUAACAAUACAGGGCUCUUCGAGUCUUGUAAUUGGAAUGAGUACAAUUUACAUCUCUUCACGAGGAUCAAUUGGAGGGCAAGUCUGGUGCCAGCAGCCGCGGUAAUUCCAGCUCCAAUAGCGUAUACUAAAGUUGUUGCAGUUAAAACGCUCGUAGUCGGAUUUCGGGGCGGGCCCGCCGGUCUGCCGAUGGGUAUGCACUGGCGGGCGCGUCCUUCCUCCCGGAGACGGCUGCUACUCUUAACUGAGCGGUGGCCGGAGACGGGAUAUUUACUUUGAAAAAAUCAGAGUGUUUCAAGCAGGCAGUCGCUCUUGCAUGGAUUAGCAUGGGAUAAUGAAAUAGGACUCUGGUGCUAUUUUGUUGGUUUCGAGCACCGGAGUAAUGAUUAACAGGGACAGUCAGGGGCACUCGUAUUCCGCCGAGAGAGGUGAAAUUCUCAGACCAGCGGAAGACGAACCACUGCGAAAGCAUUUGCCAGGGAUGUUUUCACUGAUCAAGAACGAAAGUUAGGGGAUCGAAGACGAUCAGAUACCGUCGUAGUCUUAACCAUAAACCAUGCCGACUAGGGAUUGGAGGAUGUUCCAUUUGUGACUCCUUCAGCACCUUUCGGGAAACUAAAGUCUUUGGGUUCCGGGGGGAGUAUGGUCGCAAGGCUGAAACUUAAAGGAAUUGACGGAAGGGCACCACCAGGAGUGGAGCCUGCGGCUAAUUUGACCCAACACGGGGAAACUUACCAGGUCCAGACAUUGUGAGGAUUGACAGAUUGAGAGCUCUUUCUUGAUUCGAUGGGUGGUGGUGCAUGGCCGUUCUUAGUUGGUGGAGUGAUUUGUCUGGUUAAUUCCGUUAACGAACGAGACCGCAGCCUGCUAAAUAGCGUGCCGAACCC
rnacentral:rRNA from 1 species